rnacentral:rRNA from 1 species
GAUGAACGCUGGCGGCGUGCCUAAUACAUGCAAGUCGAGCGAACAGAUGAGGAGCUUGCUCCUCUGACGUUAGCGGCGGACGGGUGAGUAACACGUGGAUAACCUACCUAUAAGACUGGGAUAACUUCGAGAAACCGGAGCUAAUACCGGAUAAUAUAUUGAACCGCAUGGUUCAAUAGUGAAAGACGGUUUUGCUGUCACUUAUAGAUGGAUCCGCGCCGCAUUAGCUAGUUGGUAAGGUAACGGCUUACCAAGGCAACGAUGCGUAGCCGACCUGAGAGGGUGAUCGGCCACACUGGAACUGAGACACAGUCCAGACUCCUACGGGAGGCAGCAGUAGGGAAUCUUCCGCAAUGGGCGAAAGCCUGACGGAGCAACGCCGCGUGAGUGAUGAAGGUCUUCGGAUCGUAAAACUCUGUUAUUAGGGAAGAACAAAUGUGUAAGUAACUAUGCACGUCUUGACGGUACCUAAUCAGAAAGCCACGGCUAACUACGUG